rnacentral:rRNA from 1 species
AUUGAACGCUGGCGGCAGGCCUAACACAUGCAAGUCGAGCGGAGCGGCGGACGGGUGAGUAAUGCCUAGGAAUCUGCCUGGUAGUGGGGGCUAACGUCCGGAAACGGGCGCUAAUACCGCAUACUAUCAGAUGAGCCUCGGUCGGAUUAGCUAGUUGGUGGUGUAAAGGCCUACCAAGGCGACGAUCCGUAACUGGUCUGCGAGGAUGAUCAGUCACACUGGAACGGAGAAACGGUCCAGAGUCCUACGGGAGGAAGCAGGUGGGAAUAUUGGACAAUGGGCGAAAGCCUGAUCCAGCCAUGCCGCGUGUGUGAAGAAGGUCUUCGGAUUGUAAAGCACUUUAAGUUGGGAGGCGUUACCAACAGAAAAAGCAACGGCUAACUACGUGCCAGCAGCCGCGGUAAUAC